rnacentral:lncRNA from 1 species
GCAAAGGAUAGAGCCCUGGAUUUUGAAGAAAGAGGAAACAACAGCUAAGUAUCCAGGCAAAGAUUACACCAGUUUGAUUGAAAAUAGACAUGGCCAUGGUUUGUACCGGGAAUUUGCAAGACAGGGACAGACUUUAGACUGA